rnacentral:rRNA from 1 species
UACGUAGGGUGCAAGCGUUGUCCGGAAUUAUUGGGCGUAAAGAGCUCGUAGGCGGUUUGUCGCGUCUGCUGUGAAAACUCGGGGCUUAACUCCGGGCCUGCAGUGGGUACGGGCAGACUAGAGUGCGGUAGGGGAGACUGGAAUUCCUGGUGUAGCGGUGAAAUUCGUAGAUAUCAGGAGGAACACCGGUGGCGAAGGCGGCUUUCUGGACGACAACUGACGCUGAGACGCGAAAGCGUGGGGAGCAAACAGG